UGGAUCGAUGAUGACUACUGGUGGCGUACGAGUCGGACACGAUGACUACGCAUGAAAUCUGAGGUCCAA